AGAAGCGCGACGACUAAGUUCGAUUUUGUGGGGAGUGUUAGGAAAUCCAAAGUGUGUAUACUAAAAUAUAUGCUAUCCAACACGUUUCCCCCGCAAAAGAGAACGAAGAGUGAAUUUACCAUUUGUAGCACGCAGGCGCUUCUACACAAUACAAAAUACAUAUAUUUAUAUAUCGGUGUGUCUCAGCUAAAAAGAGAGUUUUCAGCCAUUGGAAAAUAUCUCUUGGUUUUUCUCAUCAAUUUGACGUUUUCCACUGGUAUUAUCACACACACCAUCAACGAAAAACUAUCAAAAUGGGAAAUGAAAGCUCCCUGCCCAUGGAACUGUGUUCGAACUUCGACGCGGAUGAAAUUAGGAGGCUGGGUAAACGUUUCAGAAAAUUAGAUUUGGAUAACAGUGGCGCCCUGAGUAUCGAUGAAUUUAUGUCCCUACCGGAGCUCCAACAAAAUCCAUUAGUCCAGCGAGUGAUAGACAUAUUUGACGCGGAUGGCAAUGGCGAGGUAGACUUCAAGGAAUUCAUUCAAGGAGUAUCACAAUUCAGUGUCAAGUCUUCUGCCCAGGGCGACAAGGAGAGCAAAUUAAGAUUCGCUUUUAGAAUUUAUGAUAUGGAUAACGACGGUUUUAUAAGCAACGGCGAACUCUUUCAAGUACUCAAAAUGAUGGUAGGGAACAAUCUUAAGGAUACUCAAUUGCAGCAAAUUGUUGAUAAGACCAUAUUAUUCGCCGACAAAGAUGAGGAUGGUCAAAUAAGCUUUGAAGAAUUUUGUUCUGUGGUCGGCAACACGGAUAUUCACAAGAAGAUGGUAGUCGACGUGUAAUUAAUCAAAUUCUUUAAGCAUGUAAAAAAAAGCGUGAGAGAGAAAAAAACAGCAAAUGCGCCGUUCAACGACGUCCGAGCGGUAAAAAAUUUCUCAAGAUCUUGGAAUCGAAUAAGCAAGAACGGAACAAAAGAAAUUAAGAAAAAAGGAUUUUAAUCGAUGUUUGUGGUCGCCACUUUCGUUACAACUACAGCACAAAAAUUUUUCUCUGAUCGUCUUAUUCUUCGUAGCGUGUGCGCAGUUUCGCUGAAUACUGCCCCUUUCCUAACAACAAAAAGAGAAGAAAAACAGCAAACAAGUGGUUUCUCCAUGUUUCUCCUUUCCACAUCUCUCUUUAUAUAAACCCUGUUGCUUAUUUAUUAUUUAUUCCACGUGAGAAUAUUCGGGAUGAUACUGAACUAGGUACUGUUCAUAUUAUUAUUAUUAUUAUUAUUAUUUCUUUUUUAUAGUUUAUAAUUCGUUAUUACAUUUUUUUUCAUGCAACAACAUGUAAAACAACAGGACUGAAGAGCAAAUGCCUGUAAAAGAUUUUCUUUCUCUUCCCUUCGAUGAGAUUUAGUUGGAUAAUUAUUGUUUUUUGAUCAUCUCAUUCGAUUAUCGAGAAUAUAAUGCUCGUUAGAAAUAAACAGAAGAUAAAGGCGAAACGCAAUGAAAGAUGUGAGUAUCGGUUCGAGGCGUUGAACAAAGUGAAUCGAGCGUAGUCUGCAAUGUUCACCACGUGCAAUUUCCAAUUACAUUCGUCAUUUAUAAUAAACGUUUGCCGUAUUUUUCGCAUCGCUUGAAACUUUGUAUUUUUCCGAUUUUAAAUGAUCAAUAUUUUGGCUGCAAAAUUCGAGUAAUUGAAUCCCUUCUUAGUGAAUAAUGUAUACCGAAGAAUUUAUUCCGUUCCGUACUUUAACGGGAGCGUUAACUUUUCCAUACAUUUUUUUUCUUCGAUGAUCGAGAUAUCAUUGUAAAUGAUUCCGUGAAUGUGUGUGCGUGUGAGAGUGUAAUUCCCUUAUUUUUCUCGUUCUUUCGAAACGUCACGCUAAUUCAGCAUCGUCAGAUGUCAUUGCGCAUACGAAAGUGAUAUUGAUAUUUCACGACUAAAAUUCAAACAAUAGGGAAAUUCAAUAAAACCCAAAAAAAAAUCAACAAAUUCCCCUCCCCCAAAAAAAAAAAAAAAAAGAACAAGAAAUUGCGUGCUAGAAUUGCAGAGUAUUUUAAUUAAGCCACAAAUAUCCGAGCUCCGUUUUUUUAAAUAAUUAAAAAAUUUGAGACCCUUGGAUAUUGUGCUGGCAAACAAUAUAAAAAUAUACAUUUUAACGACCGAGAUUCGGAUCCACCCUUCACAUUAUCGAAAAGCAAAAGACUGAAAUAUUAAACGAGACCUCUGCAACUUU
rnacentral:misc_RNA from 1 species